AGGCAGCCCCGAUUGUCCAGCCAACGAUGGCAUCGGCGGUGUUACUUUGCUCGGAUAACAAAUCGAUCAAAGCUAUGGCUCCUUCAGAUCGGCUGAGAGCUCCGCUCCCUGAUGCUGAUCUAGUAGGCCUUAGCACACU
rfam:Musa acuminata subsp. malaccensis Doubled-haploid Pahang (DH-Pahang) genomic chromosome, chr5